rnacentral:rRNA from 1 species
ACGAACGUUGGCGGCGUGCUUAAUACAUGCAAGUCGUGCGAGAAAGCCGGGGCAACUCGGCGAGUACAGCGGCGGAAGGGUGCGUAAUACAUGGAUAACGUACCUCCCAGUUUGGGAUAACCCUCCGAAAGGUGGGCUAAUACCGAAUGAUGGCAGCGGGCGGCAUCGCCUGUUGCUCAAAGACGCAAGUCACUGGGAGAGCGAUCCAUGGCCUAUCAGCUAGUUGGCGGGGUAACGGCCCACCAAGGCGAUGACGGGUAGCCGGACUGAGAGGUUGAACGGCCACACGGGAACUGAGACACGGUCCCGACACCUACGGGUGGCAGCAGUAGGGAAUCUUGCGCAAUGGGCGAAAGCCUGACGCAGCGACGCCGCGUGGGGGAUGAAGGGCUUCGGCUUGUAAACCCCUUUCAUGAGGGAAGAACACUGACUUAACCUCAGGAAGAAGCACUGGCUAACUCUGU